UACGGAGGGUGCGAGCGUUGUCCGGAAUCACUGGGCGUAAAGGGCGCGUAGGUGGCCUGUGGAAGUCUGCGGUGAAAGCCCCGGCGCUCAACGCCGGGUCGGCCGUGGAUACUCUCGGGCUUGAGCUUACUAGAGGCAGAUGGAAUUCCGGGUGUAGCGGUGGAAUGCGUAGAGAUCCGGAAGAACACCGGUGGCGAAGGGCGGUCUGCUGGGGGUAUGGCUAACACUG
rnacentral:rRNA from 1 species